UCCACGUGUGGUAGCACGUAUCAAUAAAUCCCAGUUAGGAGGGAGGAUGAGGACAGCUGAUCUGAGCUCGGUCAUUCUGAGCUGCAGUCGACUAUGAUGAUUGGGUGUCCCCACUAAGUUUGGCAUCAAUACGGAGAUCACCCAUUAGCAGGUGGCCACUGUGCUGCAUUAGGAGGGGUGAACUGGCCCAGGCUGGAAAUGGAACAGGUCAAAACUCCUGUGCUAAUCAGAGUGGUAUCAGGCCAGUGAGUAGCCCCUGCACUUCCAGGCUAGGUGAGAUAGGGAGACCCAGUUUUU
ensembl:misc_RNA Metazoa_SRP Metazoan signal recognition particle RNA